CUUUCCUCUACUUGCAUAUAUAAUUUACAAUUGCUAAGACCCAAGAGACAAAGUGCUCAUUCAUCUUCUUCAAAUCUCUUCUUCUCCUGAUGAUGGUGCAAAGCUUAUGGGUUACGAGCUAAAUCAAUUGUACUAUUAAAGCUUCAUUUGGCGUUGUCGAUUCAACAAACACUUAAAACUUGCGAUCCUUAUGAUUGUGAACUGAGAAAUAUAUAGAAUUGGAUCCAGGUGUAUUCUGUCAUAUUUUUCUGAAAAACAAUAGCAAGUUUUGACAGAGACCAAAUGGAGAAUUGAGAUUCUGCACUCCUCUUGUGAACCAUUGCGGAAGGCAAGGGUACUACCAAAAGAGAAUCGUUAACCUCG